rnacentral:rRNA from 1 species
UGCCAGCAGCCGCGGUAAUACGGAGGGUGCAAGCAUUAAUCGGAUUUAUUGGGCGUAAAGAGCGCGUAGGUGGGAAAAUAAGUCAGACGUGAAAGCCUGGAGCUCAACUCCAGAAUUGCAUUUGAAACUGUUUUCCUUGAGGAUAGGCGGAGAAGACGGAAUUCCACGUGUAGCGGUGAAAUGCGUAGAUAUGUGGAAGAACACCGGUGGCGAAGGCGGUCUUCUAGCUUAUUCCUGACACUGAGGCGCGAAAGCAAGGGGAGCAAACAGGAUUAGAUA